CCUACGGGAGGCAGCAGUGAGGAAUAUUGGGCAAUGGAGGCAACUCUGACCCAGCCAUGCCGCGUGCAGGAAGACGGCCCUAUGGGUUGUAAACUGCUUUUAUACAGGAAGAAACUCUGCUACGUGUAGCAGCUUGACGGUACUGUAAGAAUAAGGACCGGCUAACUCCGUGCCAGCAGCCGCGGUAAUACGGAGGGUCCGAGCGUUAUCCGGAAUCAUUGGGUUUAAAGGGUCCGCAGGCGGUCAAUUAAGUCAGAGGUGAAAUCCCAUAGCUCAACUAUGGAACUGCCUUUGAUACUGGUUGACUUGAGUCAUAUGGAAGUAGAUAGAAUGUGUAGUGUAGCGGUGAAAUGCAUAGAUAUUACACAGAAUACCGAUUGCGAAGGCAGACUACUACGUAUGUACUGACGCUGAGGGACGAAAGCGUGGGGAGCGAACAGGAUUAGAUACCCUGGUAG
rnacentral:rRNA from 1 species